rnacentral:misc_RNA from 1 species
AUAAAAAAAUAAAAUAAAAAAAAUUGUUGAUCCAUUUUGUGGAUGAGAUUAUUGGUAAACUUCAAUGGUAGGAGCAUCAUGAUUUGGGAACUUCAAAUUCAUUGGUUACAAAAACAGAUUAGUUUUCUUUCUUUUGUUAAAUUAGAAGCAUUCGCGUCCAGAUUUUUUUCUAAAUCAUCUUAAUAGUGCAUCAAUCUUGACAUUAACUUUUUCUUUUUUUUAGCUCCUCCGGCCUUGUAGAUCUGAUCAGACACUGCAUUCUUGCUCUAUUUUCUUCAGAAGUCUUGGUUACUAACUGAGAUAUUUCAUUGGAUUCGCUGACUCGCUUUGUCGUUGCUGUAUUACAUUUCCAUUUCUUUCUCUAAUUUCUCCGCCGUCGCUUACUAAUAUGUAGUGAACAAGCCUAUGAAUGUCAUUCCGUUGGAUUUAGAUAAUUGCCUCAGUAUGUUGUAGAGACCAAACACCGAUACAGUAUCGCUUUUUUCCUUACCAUUUUGCUUUUGGUGGAAGCAAAGAGCAGUCAAAAUGAUUAUCAGCAAGCCACUCAUCUUGACAUUCUUGUACCUGUUGAUCUA